rnacentral:rRNA from 1 species
AUGGGUUCGUGGCGCAGAGCAGCAUCGAGGAGGAAGAAGCUGCCUGCCGUUGCCUCGAAGAAAAUGGCUAAGGUGAGGCGCUAUGGACGCAUUCACAUCCUAAUCGGCUCCUUUUGCACGUUUGCCACUAGCGUGUUUUUCAGCCCAUGGAGGAAAAGGAGAAUGCUGCUGUGUGGGCCCCGUUCCUCAUGUUUGACCUCGUUGCUUGGGCCAGCCGCCAGCCUCCGGUUCUGCGUGGCAAAAUGGGCACUCCUGAUUUCUCUGCAGGAGGAAGGGAGCCGAGAAGCUGCGAUGACGCUUGAAGGUGCAGAGGAAGAGGAAGAACUGCAAUUCCCCGUUGUAAUUGAUUGA